rnacentral:lncRNA from 1 species
AAAAGCAGUACCCAGCCACUUCAACCAACAAGACUACAAUUUCGAUCAAGCCAAACUUUACAUUCUGCAAACAAAUUUCCGGUCACCACGUGAGAGGAAAUACAUGGAAUCGUAUUUGAUACACAAAUUUCAAUCCCUACAUCCAUCAGGACUUUCUUUUUCUUUUUUUUCCUCCUCCUUCUUCUUACUGGACUGCCGCCCAACUUUUGAGGCCAUCGAUGACACUUGAUGUGUAUGUCCGCCAAUGACUUCACCCAUUA